rnacentral:rRNA from 1 species
UAUCUCUGUAGAGUCUGCAUAUCAAUAAGCGGAGGAAAAGAAACUAACUAGGAUUCCCUCAGUAACGGCGAGUGAAGCGGGAAGAGCUCAAAUUUGAAAUCUUCAAGGUUUUACCUUGACGAAUUGUAGUUUAAAGAAGUGUUUUCUGUUGGAGUUUUCGGUAAAAGUUCUUUGGAAUAGGACAUCAUAGAGGGUGAGAAUCCCGUAUUUGACCAUUACUUUCAGCUGUGUGAUACACUUUCAAAGAGUCGGAUUGUUUGGGAAUGCAGUCCAAAAUGGGUGGUAAAUUUCAUCUAAAGCUAAAUAUUGGCGAGAGACCGAUAGCGAACAAGUACCGUGAGGGAAAGAUGAAAAGAACUUUGAAAAGAGAGUUAAACAGUACGUGAAAUUGUCAAAAGGGAAGCGUUUGACACCAGUGUUGUUUUCUCGAAAAUCAAUUAAAAAGUGUUGGAUUUUGUAUUGUUAAGACCUUAUCAGCUUACUGUACUCUUUUCUUACUCUUUUUAAUGCACUUUUCGUUUAACAAGUCAACAUCAAUUUCUUUUGUUGUAAAAGAGUCAUUGGAAGGUGGCUUUCACUUCGGUGAAAGUGUUUAUAGCCUUUGGCUUCUGCAAUCGGAAAGAUUGAGGUCUGCAGCGUAGAUCCUUCGGGGUUAGAUACGUAGAUGCUAAGUUAUAGUUUUUCAUAGACAACUUGUUGACUAUGAUUAAUCAUGUAGCUUACUCGUUUGCGCUAUUUUACCUACGCUUAGGAUGUUGAUCUCUCACAGUCGAGC